UUUGCGGUAGAACCCGGGGCGGAGCUCCCCAGCCCUCACUGCGGUCUUUCUUUCCAGUGGCCUCGGACGGUGAGGUCAUGUCUUUUCGAGCUCCGCUACACGUGGGGGGUGAUCAAGCCAGCUGGUGGCCCCCUUAAGAAGUAUGAUGAGGGAUUUCAGCUUACAAAGAGGUCAGAAGUACAAAAGGCCUUGGCCCCAGUGGAAGAACAGAGAUGAAAAGCCCAGAAACCUGUCCCCAUGAAACUCCUGGCGGGGGAGAAGGAUUCAAAAUGGGUAUAAGGUGGCGCUACCAGCACAGGGAGGAACUUUCCAUUGCUGGCUGAAGAAUAAUUACUCCCUGUUGUUGGGUUCCCUGAGUCAGUAUACAUUCCCUAAGGGGUUUGGGUGGCUUAAUCAUGCAAAUUAAAAUGAUCUAAUAGGAUUUGCUACUUGA